rnacentral:lncRNA from 1 species
UGACCGUUGCAUUCUAUGCUCUUAAUUUUGUUUGCUUAGGUUCAAAUAUAUCCAUUACCUCUUAUGUGGAGAAGAAGUGACCUUUUCUUAAUACAUCUUAAAUACAUCAAAGGCCAACCUUGUGAAGUUAAGAAGAGUGAAUCUUUGAAAACUCAACCCUUUUUACUGAGGGCCAUGAAGACUAUCAGAGGAAUUUAAAUACCACAUCUUUUGCUUGCCUUAGUUGUAUUAGU